GCACGCUAGACGGGGAGCCAGCGGUGCCCUGUAACCCGCAAUCCGCUCAAGCGGGGUCGAACAUCUGUCCGAGGCGUCCUCAGUCGCGGCAGGCGAGCCGGAGAAGUGGUGUCGAGGGUCAGGUCCCGCGCAAUCGGACCCGGUGAAUCCGGUCAGGGCCGGGAGGCAGCAGCCGUAAGCCGCCAGUUCGAUGUGCCGCGGGGACGCUUGGCCGGAGCCAACUGGCCGGCGACCCUCCGCGUCGAGGCGUCGAGACAGACGCGUGC
rnacentral:SRP_RNA from 1 species